UAUUUUACUUAGUUUAAACAUAUUUAUUUAUAGUGGAUUGGGAAACAAGUUUUUCAACUUAUAUUAAUCCCUUUCCACUUUGCGGGUGCGAGUGCUGCCUUGUAGCGGCAUUAGCCUGCUCUUUUUCGAAAUCUACAAGGGUGUCUUUAACGUGCAAGAGAUAUGGCUCUCUCUCAACACGGGUCAGCCAUUUAUCGUCCCCUUCCGACGGACUAUCAUCGUUUCCUCAAGACCAUACUCGCAAAUGGUGUCAAGGGAGAGCCGAAAAUUAUGUCCCUGAAAUUUUCAUCCCAGACGGGAAUCGAACCAGGAACCUUU
rnacentral:lncRNA from 1 species